AAAUUAUUAGGCAAAUCAGUAUUUUGUCCACAUCAUCCUCUUCAUGCAUGUUGUCUUACUCCAAGCUGUAUAGGCUCGAAAGCCUACUACCAAUUAAGCAUAUUAGGUGAUGUGCAUCUCUGUAAUGAGAAGGGGUAUGGUCUAAUGACAUCAACACCCUAUAUCAGGUGUGCAUAAUUAUUAGGCAACUUCCUUUCCUUUGGCAAAAUGGGUCAAAAGAAGGACUUGACAGGCUCAGAAAAGUCAAAAAUAGUGAGAUAUCUUGCAGAGGCAUGCAGCAGUCUUAAAAUUGCAAAGCUUCUGAAGCGUGAUCAUCGAACAAUCAAGCGUUUCAUUCAAAAUAGUCAACAGGGUCGCAAGAAGCGUGUGGAAAAACCAAGGCGCAAAAUAACUGCCCAUGAACUGAGAAAAGUCAAGCGUGCAGCUGCCAAGAUGCCACUUGCCACCAGUUUGGCCAUAUUUCAGAGCUGCAACGUCACUGGAGUGCCCAAAAGCACAAGGUGUGCAAUACUCAGAGACAUGGCCAAGGUAAGAAAGGCUGAAAGACGACCACCACUGAACAAGACACACAAGCUGAAACGUCAAGACUGGGCCAAGAAAUAUCUCAAGAC
ensembl:lncRNA